CAGGAGGAGCCAUUGGGCAGUCCAGGUGGGAAGUCUGCCCUGAGGAGUUGUGUGUGGUUCAUGCCAGGACUUGAGUGGACACGAGACCUGCAUACCCACCACCAGGACUGGAAGUGCUGAUGCUCAACGGGAAACUUCAGCUGUUUAGCAGGUUUGAAAAGACCAAGUGGACUGUCUAGAAAUGACCAUGCCCCAACCC
rnacentral:lncRNA from 1 species